rnacentral:rRNA from 1 species
GUUUUAACAUAUUGCUAUUUUAUAAUGUUAGUUGAAAUUUUUGUUCAAAAAUUAAUACAAUAAUUGUAAAAGUAUUUAUUAAUAAAAUUUUUUUAAAGGCUAUAGUUUAUAAGUACUGAAUAGGAAAUAUUAUUAAAAAAUUUAAGAGAUUUAAGUAAAGUUAAAAGAUUGUACCUUGUGUAUCAGGGAUAAUUAAAUUAUAUCAGUUAAAUUGAUAUUCCCGAAUUAAGGAUAGCUAAUAUUUUAAAUUAGUUUUUGUGAUAUAAAAAUUUAAAAUUUAAUAUUAAAGAUGAAAUGUCAUACGAGCCUUAUAAUAUCUGGUUCUUUAAGAAUAAAAUAUAAUUUAAUUAUUAAGUAAAACUAACUUAAUAGUAAAGGGUAGGAGGGAUUAGCUUCUUAUCACUAAAAAAAUUAAAUAAUAGAAUAAGCGUAAUAUAAUUUUUCCUAGGCUUAAAAGUAGCCAUGUUAAUAGAGUGUUUUAAUUUAGAUUUAUUGGUAAAAUAAUUUAUAUAUUCUUUAUUAAGUAUUAAAGCGUUAAUAAAAAUGAGAAAAAUUAGGAGAUAAUGAUUAUAUUAGUAAAAAAAAAUUAUUAAAAUAAAAAUAAAAUAAAAUAAAAUAGGUAACUAUAAUAAAUGCUUGAAAUGUAAAAGGAACUCGGCAAAAUCGGUCUUCUUGCCUGUUUAUCAAAAACAUGGCUAUUAUGAGAUUAUUUAUAGUCUAGCCUGCUCACUGAUAGGAAUUAUUAAAUAGCCGCGGUAUUUUGACCGUGCAAAGGUAGCAUAAUCAUUAGUUUCUUAAUUGGAAACUUGUAUGAAUGGUUGGACAAAGAAGAGGCUGUCUCUUAUAUUAUUGUUGAAUUUAACUUUUAAGUGAAAAGGCUUAAAUAUUCUAGAGGGACGAUAAGACCCUAUAAAGCUUUAUAAAUUUAAAGAUUUUGUAUGUUUUUAUAUAAAGAUAAAUUCUAAAGAAUUUAUUGGGUUGGGGCGACAAUGGUAUAAUGAAAAUAACUGCUAUUAAAAUUAACAACUAUAUUUGGAUUAAGUUAAAUAAUUGAUCCUUUAUAAGGAUUUUAAGAUCAAGUUACUUUAGGGAUAACAGCGUUAUUUUUUCUGAGAGUUCUUAUCAAAGAAAAAGUUUGCGACCUCGAUGUUGAAUUAAAAUGUCUUUAUAGUGCAGCAGCUAUAAAAGAAGGUCUGUUCGACCUUUAAUGUUUUACAUGAUUUGAGUUCAGACCGGCGAGAGCCAGGUCGGUUUCUAUCUUCUAGAGAAUAGAGAGAGUAUCUUAGUACGAAAGGAUUAGAUAGUCAAAAGUCUUUUGAAAAAUGAAAU